rnacentral:rRNA from 1 species
UUGAUGCCAUGCUUCCAGGAAAAACUUCUAAGCUUCAGAUAUACGGGAACCGUACCCCAAACCGACACAGGUGGUUAGGUAGAGAAUACUAAGGCGCUUGAGAGAACUCGGGUGAAGGAACUAGGCAAAAUGGUACCGUAACUUCGGGAGAAGGUACGCUCUCUAAUGUGAAUGACUUGCUCAGUAAGCAUCGGAGAGUCGAAGUAACCAGGUGGCUGGAACUGUUUAUUAAAAACACAGCACUGUGCAAAAUCGAAAGAUGACGUAUACGGUGUGACGCCUGCCCGGUGCCGGAAGGUUAAUUGAUUGGGUUAGCUCUGCGAAGCUCAUGAUCGAAGCCCCGGUAAACGGCGGCCGUAACAAUAACGGUCCUAAGGUAGCGAAAUUCCUUGUCGGGUAAGUUCCGACCUGCACGAAUGGCGUAACGAUGGCCACACUGUCUCCACCCGAGACUCAGUGAAAUUGAAAUCGCUGUGAAGAUGCAGCGUCCCCGCGGCUAGACGGAAAGACCCCGUGAACCUUUACUAUAGCUUCACACUGGACUUUGACAUUACUUGUGUAGGAUAGCUGGGAGGCUUUGAAGCGUGGACGCCAGUUCACGUGGAGCCAAGCUUGAAAUACCAGCCUGGUCAAUUUGAGGUUCUAACUCAGGUCCAUUAUCUGGAUCGAGGACACUGUGUGGUGGGUAGUUUGACUGGGGCGGUCUCCUCCCAAAGAGUAACGGAGGAGCACGAAGGUUCGCUCAGCAUGGUCGGACAUCAUGCGGUUAGUGCAAUGGCAUAAGGUUGCUUGACUGCGAGACAGACACGUCGAGCAGGUACGAAAGUAGGUGCUAGUGAUCCGGUGGUUCUGUAUGGAAGGGCCAUCGCUCAACGGAUAAAAGGUACUCCGGGGAUAACAGGCUGAUACCGCCCAAGAGUUCAUAUCGACGGCGGUGUUUGGCACCUCGAUGUCGGCUCAUCUCAUCCUGGGGCUGGAGUCGGUCCCAAGGGUAUGGCUGUUCGCCGUUUAAAGUGGUACGUGAGCUGGGUUUAGAACGUCGUGAGACAGUUCGGUCCCUAUCUGCCGUGGGCGUUUGAGAAUUGAGGGGGGUUGCUCCUAGUACGAGAGGACCGGAGUGAACGAACCGCUGGUGUUCGGGUUGUCAUGCCAAUGGCAUUGCCCGGUAGCUACGUUCGGAACUGAUAAGCGCUGAAAGCAUCUAAGCGCGAAGCAGGCCUCGAGAUGAUUUCUCACUAGAGCUAUAAGCUCUCUGAAGGGCCGUUGG